AGCGAACGCUGGCGGCAGGCUUAACACAUGCAAGUCGAGCGGGCCCUUCGGGGUCAGCGGCAGACGGGUGAGUAACACGUGGGAACGUACCCUUUGGUUCGGAAUAACGCUGGGAAACUAGCGCUAAUACCGGAUACGCCCUUUUGGGGAAAGGCUUGCUGCCGAAGGAUCGGCCCGCGUCUGAUUAGCUAGUUGGUGGGGUAAUGGCCUACCAAGGCGACGAUCAGUAGCUGGUCUGAGAGGAUGAUCAGCCACACUGGGACUGAGACACGGCCCAGACUCCUACGGGAGGCAGCAGUGGGGAAUAUUGGAUAAUGGGCGCAAGCCUGAUCCAGCCAUGCCGCGUGAGUGAUGAAGGCCUUAGGGUUGUAAAGCUCUUUUGUCCGGGGCGAUAAUGACGGUACCGGAAGAAUAAGCCCCGGCUAACUUCGUG
rnacentral:rRNA from 1 species